GCCUGGUUGGCUCAGUCGGUUAAGCGUCUGACUUCCGCUCAGGUCACGAUCUCACGGUUCGUGAGUUCAAGCCCCGCGUCGGGCU
rnacentral:tRNA from 1 species